GACGAACGCUGGCGGCGUGCUUAACACAUGCAAGUCGAACGGAAAGGCCCUGCUUGCAGGGUACUCGAGUGGCGAACGGGUGAGUAACACGUGGGUGAUCUGCCCUGCACUUCGGGAUAAGCUUGGGAAACUGGGUCUAAUACCGGAUAGGACCGCACUUUAGUGUGUGUGGUGGAAAGUUUUUUCGGUGUAGGAUGAGCUCGCGGCCUAUCAGCUUGUUGGUGGGGUAAUGGCCUACCAAGGCGGCGACGGGUAGCCGGCCUGAGAGGGUGUACGGCCACAUUAGGACUGAGAUACGGCCCAGACUCCUACGGGAGGCAGCAGUGGGGAAUAUUGCACAAUGGGCGCAAGCCUGAUGCAGCGACGCCGCGUGGGGGAUGAAGGCCUUCGGGUUGUAAACUCCUUUCGCUAGGGACGAAGCGUUGUUGUGACGGUACCUAGAGAAGAAGCACCGGCUAACUACGUG
rnacentral:rRNA from 1 species